GACGAACGCUGGCGGCGUGCUUAACACAUGCAAGUCGAACGAUGAUGCCCAGCUUGCUGGGUGGAUUAGUGGCGAACGGGUGAGUAACACGUGAGUAACCUGCCCUUCACUCUGGGAUAACUCCGGGAAACCGGGGCUAAUACUGGAUAUGACUCCUCCUCGCAUGGGGUGGGAGUGGAAAGCUUUUGUGGUGGAGGAUGGACUCGCGGCCUAUCAGCUUGUUGGUGAGGUAGUGGCUCACCAAGGCGACGACGGGUAGCCGGCCUGAGAGGGCGACCGGCCACACUGGGACUGAGACACGGCCCAGACUCCUACGGGAGGCAGCAGUGGGGAAUAUUGCACAAUGGGCGAAAGCCUGAUGCAGCGACGCCGCGUGAGGGAUGAAGGCCUUCGGGUUGUAAACCUCUUUCAGCUCUGAAGAAGCGAAAGUGACGGUAGGAGCAGAAGAAGCACCGGCUAACUACGUGCCAGCAGCCGCGGUAAUACGUAGGGUGCGAGCGUUGUCCGGAAUUAUUGGGCGUAAAGAGCUUGUAGGUGGUUUGUCGCGUCUGCGGUGAAAUCCCAACGCUUAACGUUGGGCUUGCCGUGGGUACGGGCAGACUAGAGUGUGGUAGGGGAGACUGGAAUUCCUGGUGUAGCGGUGAAAUGCGCAGAUAUCAGGAGGAACACCGAUGGCGAAGGCAGGUCUCUGGGCCAUAACUGACACUGAGAAGCGAAAGCAUGGGGAGCGAACAGGAUUAGAUACCCUGGUAGUCCAUGCCGUAAACGUUGGGCGCUAGGUGUGGGGCUCAUUCCACGAGUUCCGUGCCGCAGCUAACGCAUUAAGCGCCCCGCCUGGGGAGUACGGCCGCAAGGCUAAAACUCAAAGGAAUUGACGGGGGCCCGCACAAGCGGCGGAGCAUGCGGAUUAAUUCGAUGCAACGCGAAGAACCUUACCAAGGCUUGACAUACACCGGAAACAUNCAGAGAUGGGUGCCCCGCAAGGUCGGUGUACAGGUGGUGCAUGGUUGUCGUCAGCUCGUGUCGUGAGAUGUUGGGUUAAGUCCCGCAACGAGCGCAACCCUCGUUCUAUGUUGCCAGCGCGUUAUGGCGGGGACUCAUAGGAGACUGCCGGGGUCAACUCGGAGGAAGGUGGGGAUGACGUCAAAUCAUCAUGCCCCUUAUGUCUUGGGCUUCA
rnacentral:rRNA from 1 species